UAUUAGGAAAUAUUGAAAGAACCUAAUGGGGAAACCCCCACUCAACUCCCAAUUCGGCGUGCACCCAAGAAUCACGAACAAAACA
rnacentral:pre_miRNA from 7 species